rnacentral:piRNA from 1 species
ACCAUCUGUAAUGAGAUGUUUGCCUGUGA